rnacentral:lncRNA from 10 species
UGUGCUACCAUGCUCGGCUAGACCUUUCUUAUUUCUUGCCUAGACUAGCAAGUUUCUUAACAGGGCCCCAUAACCAUUCUCCACUCAUCAGCAAGUUUAAAAAUCAGACAUUGAAUAAUUUCAUUUUCCACACCCCCCCUCCUCCCAUUCAAGUUGUCUUCAGUGGGAUGUUAGGACUGCCAUGUGUUAAGGGACUCUCCUCAUAUUCUAUUCCUUUCAACCACCCUGUGAAUUGGAAACCAAAACUCUAUGAUAAACUUUGCUUUUUUAAGGUCAGCCAGGUGCAGUGGCUCACA